rnacentral:rRNA from 1 species
CGACGCUGGCGGCGUGCCUAAUACAUGCAAGUCGAGCGGACCUUCGAGGGAGCUUGCUUCCGAGAAGGUUAGCGGCGGACGGGUGAGUAACACGUAGGCAACCUGCCCUUUAGACCGGGAUAACAUUCGGAAACGGAUGCUAAGACCGGAUAAGCAGCCUCAUCGCAUGAGGGGGCUGGGAAAGACGGAGCAAUCUGUCACUAAAGGAUGGGCCUGCGGCGCAUUAGCUAGUUGGUGAGGUAACGGCUCACCAAGGCGACGAUGCGUAGCCGACCUGAGAGGGUGAACGGCCACACUGGGACUGAGACACGGCCCAGACUCCUACGGGAGGCAGCAGUAGGGAAUCUUCCACAAUGGGCGAAAGCCUGAUGGAGCAACGCCGCGUGAGUGAGGAAGGCCUUCGGGUCGUAAAGCUCUGUUGCCAGGGAAGAAUAAGGUCCAGUUCACUGCUGGACCGAUGACGGUACCUGAGAAGAAAGCCCCGGCUAACUACGUG